GCAGUAGCCGCGGGAACACGGAGGAUCCAAGCGUUAUCCGGAUUUAUUGGGUUUAAAGGGUGCGUAGGCGGCCUAUUAAGUCAGGGGUGAAAGACGGUAGCUCAACUAUCGCAGUGCCUUUGAUACUGAUAGGCUUGAAUGUACUUGAAGUGGGCGGAAUGUGACAAGUAGCGGUGAAAUGCAUAGAUAUGUCACGGAACACCGAUUGCGAAGGCAGCUCACUAAAGUAUGAUUGACGCUGAGGCACGAAAGCGUGGGGAUCAAACAGGAUUAGAUACCCCAGUAGUCCCUGUCUCUUAUAC
rnacentral:rRNA from 1 species